UGAAACAUCUUAGUACCCGGAGGAAGAGAAAGAAAAUUCGAUUCCCUUAGUAGCGGCGAGCGAAACGGGAAGAGCCCAAACCAACAAGCUUGCUUAUUGGGGUUGUAGGACACUCUAUACGGAGUUACAAAGGACGACAUUAGACGAAUCAUCUGGAAAGAUGAAUCAAAGAAGGUAAUAAUCCUGUAGUCGAAAAUGUUGUCUCUCUUGAGUGGAUCCUGAGUACGACGGAGCACGUGAAAUUCCGUCGGAAUCUGGGAGGACCAUCUCCUAAGGCUAAAUACUCUCUAGUGACCGAUAGUGAACCAGUACCGUGAGGGAAAGGUGAAAAGCACCCCGGAAGGGGAGUGAAAUAGAACCUGAAACCGUGUGCUUACAAGUAGUCAGAGCCCGUUAAUGGGUGAUGGCGUGCCUUUUGUAGAAUGAACCGGCGAGUUACGAUUUGAUGCAAGGUUAAGCAGUAAAUGUGGAGCCGUAGCGAAAGCGAGUCUGAAUAGGGCGUUUAGUAUUUGGUCGUAGACCCGAAACCAGGUGAUCUACCCUUGGUCAGGUUGAAGUUCAGGUAACACUGAAUGGAGGACCGAACCGACUUACGUUGAAAAGUGAGCGGAUGAACUGAGGGUAGCGGAGAAAUUCCAAUCGAACCUGGAGAUAGCUGGUUCUCUCCGAAAUAGCUUUAGGGCUAGCCUCAAGUGAUGAUUAUUGGAGGUAGAGCACUGUUUGGACGAGGGGCCCCUCUCGGGUUACCGAAUUCAGACAAACUCCGAAUGCCAAUUAAUUUAACUUGGGAGUCAGAACAUGGGUGAUAAGGUCCGUGUUCGAAAGGGAAACAGCCCAGACCACCAGCUAAGGUCCCAAAAUAUAUGUUAAGUGGAAAAGGAUGUGGCGUUGCCCAGACAACUAGGAUGUUGGCUUAGAAGCAGCCAUCAUUUAAAGAGUGCGUAAUAGCUCACUAGUCGAGUGACACUGCGCCGAAAAUGUACCGGGGCUAAACAUAUUACCGAAGCUGUGGAUUGUCCUUUGGACAAUGGUAGGAGAGCGUUCUAAGGGCGUUGAAGCAUGAUCGUAAGGACAUGUGGAGCGCUUAGAAGUGAGAAUGCCGGUGUGAGUAGCGAAAGACGGGUGAGAAUCCCGUCCACCGAUUGACUAAGGUUUCCAGAGGAAGGCUCGUCCGCUCUGGGUUAGUCGGGUCCUAAGCUGAGGCCGACAGGCGUAGGCGAUGGAUAACAGGUUGAUAUUCCUGUACCACCUAUAAUCGUUUUAAUCGAUGGGGGGACGCAGUAGGAUAGGCGAAGCGUGCGAUUGGAUUGCACGUCUAAGCAGUAAGGCUGAGUAUUAGGCAAAUCCGGUACUCGUUAAGGCUGAGCUGUGAUGGGGAGAAGACAUUGUGUCUUCGAGUCGUUGAUUUCACACUGCCGAGAAAAGCCUCUAGAUAGAAAAUAGGUGCCCGUACCGCAAACCGACACAGGUAGUCAAGAUGAGAAUUCUAAGGUGAGCGAGCGAACUCUCGUUAAGGAACUCGGCAAAAUGACCCCGUAACUUCGGGAGAAGGGGUGCUCUUUAGGGUUAACGCCCAGAAGAGCCGCAGUGAAUAGGCCCAAGCGACUGUUUAUCAAAAACACAGGUCUCUGCUAAACCGUAAGGUGAUGUAUAGGGGCUGACGCCUGCCCGGUGCUGGAAGGUUAAGAGGAGUGGUUAGCUUCUGCGAAGCUACGAAUCGAAGCCCCAGUAAACGGCGGCCGUAACUAUAACGGUCCUAAGGUAGCGAAAUUCCUUGUCGGGUAAGUUCCGACCCGCACGAAAGGCGUAACGAUUUGGGCACUGUCUCAACGAGAGACUCGGUGAAAUCAUAGUACCUGUGAAGAUGCAGGUUACCCGCGACAGGACGGAAAGACCCCGUGGAGCUUUACUGUAGCCUGAUAUUGAAAUUCGGCACAGCUUGUACAGGAUAGGUAGGAGCCUUUGAAACGUGAGCGCUAGCUUACGUGGAGGCGCUGGUGGGAUACUACCCUAGCUGUGUUGGCUUUCUAACCCGCACCACUUAUCGUGGUGGGAGACAGUGUCAGGCGGGCAGUUUGACUGGGGCGGUCGCCUCCUAAAAGGUAACGGAGGCGCUCAAAGGUUCCCUCAGAAUGGUUGGAAAUCAUUCAUAGAGUGUAAAGGCAUAAGGGAGCUUGACUGCGAGACCUACAAGUCGAGCAGGGUCGAAAGACGGACUUAGUGAUCCGGUGGUUCCGCAUGGAAGGGCCAUCGCUCAACGGAUAAAAGCUACCCCGGGGAUAACAGGCUUAUCUCCCCCAAGAGUUCACAUCGACGGGGAGGUUUGGCACCUCGAUGUCGGCUCAUCGCAUCCUGGGGCUGUAGUCGGUCCCAAGGGUUGGGCUGUUCGCCCAUUAAAGCGGUACGCGAGCUGGGUUCAGAACGUCGUGAGACAGUUCGGUCCCUAUCCGUCGUGGGCGUAGGAAAUUUGAGAGGAGCUGUCCUUAGUACGAGAGGACCGGGAUGGACAUACCUCUGGUGUACCAGUUGUCGUGCCAACGGCAUAGCUGGGUAGCUAUGUGUGGACGGGAUAAGUGCUGAAAGCAUCUAAGCAUGAAGCCCCCCUCAAGAUGAGAUUUCCCAACUUCGGUUAUAAGAUCCCUCAAAGAUGAUGAGGUUAAUAGGUUCGAGGUGGAAGCAUGGUGACAUGUGGAGCUGACGAAUACUAAUCGAUCGAAGACUUAAUCAA
rnacentral:rRNA from 1 species